AUCAGUAUGAUGGUCUCUUCUCUUCUCCUAUUCUUUCUGAGUAUACUAGGAUCAAGUAAUGCUGUCUUGCAGUAUCAACUACAAAAUGAUACUCUCUCUACUUGCCUUGUACUGAGUGAUGGAUCCCUCUUGAUUGGUACAGCCAGUCACAUUAUAAAGUUAAACUCUGACAGUUUAACAGUAAACUCAUCUCUUCCAUUGAACACUACUACUAAUCAACUAUUGUUGCUCCUCAAUGAUACUGGACUCAGUCAGAAUGUUCUCUCUUGUCAGGAGCAGGAGUGUUUUCUUCUCAAUCCUAAUGACCUCACUAACACAGUCAGUGUUUCUGCAAGCCCUACUCCUUCAUCAUUCCUAUUCCCAACAACACCUGACAUGCCAGGGCUUUAUACUGAAGACAGAAAAUUUUUUGUUGGUAAAGAUGCUGCUUCACCUAUUGCUUCAUCAAUCAGUAAACUACAGUAUUCAUCCUCUGGCUCUCAGCUACAAAUUGUACUGGUUGGAAGUCAACAAGAACAUAAUAUUAAGCUUACUAGAAAAUUUUUAAAUAAUUUUCAGCAUAAUGAAUUUGUAUAUUAUGUAUUUGUCCUAGCUGAUUAUGGCUCCAAAGUACAAGUAGCAAGAAUAUGUAGCAACGAUACUGGAAUUGAGCAGCUUAGUAUGUCAACACUUAAAACAUACACUGAGGCAGAAUUACAGUGUAAUGAAAUGAUAAAUCCUGAUUCAAUUACAGCAGCUACCUUUGUACAGUAUAUCAAUGGAGAAUCAAUGAUUAUGGUAUCAAUGAAGAGUGGCAGUACUAAUAUCUUAUGUGCAUUCAAUGUAUCAGAAAUUAAUAGAAAAAUGAAUGAUAAGUUAUCCUCAUGUAAAAAUGGGCAGGGAACAUUGUCCUUAAAAAGAAAUAGUGGCAGUAGUUCAUGUCCGAGUAAUUUAGAUCAAGAUAUGAAAAGUGUAAGAAAAAUAAUCAAUACAACUUUAUAAUAAUGGAUCAUUGUACAUUUUAAUAGGCAAUUAUGGCAUGCAAUAGACUAGGACAAUUUAUUGUUCCAUUUGAAGUAGAUAGUCCUACAUUCGGAGUCAGAGUUGCUUUCACAUCUGAAGUAUCUGCACUUAAUAGUCUUGCAUAUGAAGACACUGUGUAUCUAUAUGCUGGGUCUCAUCAAACAAUUGAACAGGUAAGUAACAAAGUAUUGAUUUUAACAAAAUAAUUAUUUGUAGUCUAUCAUCAUUAUACAUGUAGUACUAUUUCACAGCUGACAAUUUGUUAGUUUCAAUUCGCAACAUCACUACAAAGACUAAUGAACAAGUGAAUAAGAUUAAAUUUUCCCCAGACGGUGAAUAUUUAUAUGCUCUCUCACCAACGCAUGUGAGUGAUCAUACAUUAACUGUCAGUUAACAUUAAUUAACAGGUUGUUAAAGUAAAAGCUUCAUUGGAUUGCUCAACUGCAACAAGUUGCUCUGAAUGUGUUGUCAGUUUUCUUUGUGGUUGGUGCCAGUUAGACUUUACAUGUACUGGGCAGAACUCAUCAUGUACUAAUGGUCAAUGGCUCAAUGUACAGAAUCAAGGUACAGAUACUACUAACACUUGUCCUUAUUUACAACCUAACUCUGAUACAUCUGAUGGAAAAUAUACUCAACCAGCUAAUGUUACUAAGAAUUUGACUAUAUCUACAAUCAAUACUGUGGUAAGUUACAAUUACAUACUAAUGAUAAUAAUAAUAAUUCUCCCAAUAUUAUUGUAACAAUACUCACUAUUCAAUAUCACAGUUUUUUCCUGGUCUCAGUUAUGAGUGUGUAUAUGGUGCUGUUACUCGAACUGCUACUGUUAACAAUGACAAUAUGGUGACAUGUAAUAAUGAUCCUCUGGUGAGUAACGUACGGUAAAGU